rnacentral:rRNA from 1 species
UACGUAGGGUGCAAGCGUUAAUCGGAAUUACUGGGCGUAAAGCGCGCGCAGGCGGCCCGUUAAGUCGGAUGUGAAAACCUGGGGCUCAACCCCAGGCCUGCACCCGAUACUGGCGGGCUCGAGGCAGGUAGGGGAGAGUGGAAUUCCCGGUGUAGCGGUGAAAUGCGCAGAUAUCGGGAGGAACACCGGUGGCGAAGGCGGCUUACUGGGUCUCUUCUGACGCUGAGAUACGAAAGCUAGGGGAGCGAACGGG